rnacentral:lncRNA from 1 species
UUAGUCCAGCGGAAUCCCGCCAAGCACCUGUGAACCGUGUUGUUGGCUGUGGUUAACUGUAACGACGUAGAUCAACGGGAUGUGCCUCCGUCGCUUUUUCUACUCGAGGAAUACUCGCGGGAAGCUUUGGACCUUUGUUGGAGAGUUUGCUUUCCGCUUCUUUCUUCCGUCCCUGCCGAUCGAGAUGGCGCAAAGAGAUUUUUGAAAUCGUGAUCUUUUCUCUCUCUCUCUCUCUUUUUGUUUGAAAAGAUUUCUCUAAAGUUAAAGGUCAGCGUGUCGCAGAACCUACUAAUGAACGGCUGCCAUCUCCGAGGCUCACGCUCGCAAGACCGACCUCGGAAAUCGCAGGCUGAUGACAUUUAAAAGUGCCACGUGAAGGUAUCGACCGACGUGCACGCUCGCUCGUUCUUUCUUUCGCGGCGGAAGGCAGAGACUAUCAUCUGUAUGCGAGAGAGAGAAAGAGAGAGAGAGAGAAAACGACACGGUGGAGGGAGCGGAGCUGCCGACUCAGACGAGAAAACUGCAGUGAAAGCCUGCCUCGCAUUCUGGGCCAGACGGAAGAAACAUACAAGGCAGACAGUGUAACGGCCUCCUUCGCGUUCCCCGCUUCUUUUAUUAUACCACCUCUCGCUCCGAGUUCGACGCGAGCGCGCCUUUCCACCCCCUCGUUCGUCCCACCUCGCCCUCAUCGUCGCGACACUCGCUCGGCCUGUCCCCCCAAAGAGGGAGAAAGAGGGAAACGACGGAAUAAGUCUCGGUGUUCCAGAUACACGUCCGGACGUGCACCAGUUCCGUACUCCGAGAGAUGUUAAAUGUCCACGCUUCAAAUUCUUAAUCAUCUUACUCUACUUUUCGUAUUUUUAUAUCGAGAUUUGUAUCAAUAUAAACCGUAAAUAUUUUAGCUACUUUUAUUUUGCUACGUGCUAAAUACUAAAAAAGGUAUCCUCCAUUUUCUAAAAAAAAAAAAAAAAAAAAAGAGAUAAAUGUGAACAGCGUGAAUAAUGUAGAGCCGUUGUAUCAUGCAUUCUUUUUUUCUUUUUUUUCAAAUUUGAUUUGCACUCAUCAGAAACCAACUUAAUAUGAAAAUAAGAUCGCUUUUCUUAGACUUUCGUAUUUAAAAGAAAGAUAUACCGUGGAUUUUCGGAGGGAUAAAAGAAAUAUAACUAUAGAAAAUGUAGCUAACAGACAGCCCGACACAUUUAUGAAGAGAGAUUCUUUAAUAAAUUCCGAUCAAUGUUAAUAUUAUUAAACAAUGUCAAAUGUUAAUAGAGCUAAAAGAUUUCAGAGAAAUGAAAAAAUAUAAAGGUUCGUAAGCCAAGAUUAUAAAAGUAAUUAAAUUUUCAAAAAAGUAGCAGCAAAUCUUUUAUAAACGAGCAACGUAUUUUAAUCCAAAGUUUGUGGAAUGUAGGGAAAAUCUAUGUAUGGAAACUGCGCCUAUUAAAUUUCACCGGGCUGAUCGUUGAAAUUCAAAACUAUGUCGGGUGCACCGGGUCCUACCGAUUACCCCUUCACGCUACGUAUGUAAAUCACCUGUGCAAGGUGCAGCAACACCGAGGGUUACCUUGGCGGAAUUGAUUUUUUUUUUUCUUCACGCACUAGUCACAUAAAACACUUUCACCGACGUGGCGCAUCGCACGUCCGUCGUAAUUCAUUUCGCUACUGUGUGUGCGCUGGCUGUCAGGUGAAAUGAAAUCCCGUACAAUACUUUCGCCAAAAACCGCGGCAUUAAAUAUUCGCAAUCGUAAAUGUACAACCGCAACGGUCCGUCUUUGGAUAAUCGAGUGGCCGCCGCUACUACGCCCUAUGAAUAAUAGACGAAUCGAGGACACAUUUAAAAAUUGCCCAACAUUACGACGGUACAUUUUUCCCCGUAAUAUCUAUAUAGUAAUGCAAGCUAAUUGACGUGAAAACGUGAUUAUGAUUCGACAUAACCGCGUUUGAAAUUUUAAUGACGGCUUAUUUAAUCGAUUUUAUCAACUUAAUUAUAAAGAUAUUUACAUUAGAAAUUGAAGGGCUUUCGCAAAAUUAAGUUUCAAGCGUGUCUAAAUGGCCGAGCGGGAACUUGUCUCCUCGGUUAACUUUAAAUUAGUUUUACUUCAACGGAAAUUUCAUUUGCGGCUUAAUUAACAGGACGCUUAAUAAUUGAGUGAUGGGUUUGUGAAAAGGUGCGAAUAAAUUCUGGUCAAGUCUUCGCCCCGAGGGAAGAUCGAGGAAUUCAAUAUUCGGACGUACCGAUAUAGACGGCGUCCUCUCUUUAAACGCGUAUCGAAUUUUUUACUCGCCUUACACCGAUCUCGAUCCCUACUACGUCGGAAAACGGGUGUCGUUAAUGUUUGACAUUUUCGAAGGGAAUGGAAAACCCCUCCGAGACAUAUUUUCCACGGCCGUCGCAAAGUAAAGAUCAACGGGGAUAAUAUUGGAUGACGUGAGGAAAGUGUACGGGGAAAAAAAAAAA